CCUACGGGAGGCAGCAGUGAGGAAUAUUGGUCAAUGGCCGGAAGGCUGAACCAGCCAUGCCGCGUGAAGGUCAGUGCCCUAUGGGCGUUAAACUUCUUUUGUGCGGGAGCAAUAAUGGUCACGUGUGGCCAGACGAGAGUACCGUACGAAUAAGCAUCGGCUAACUCCGUGCCAGCAGCCGCGGUAAUACGGGGGAUGCAAGCGUUAUCCGGCUUUAUUGGGUUUAAAGGGUGCGUAGGCUGUGAGGUAAGUCAGCGGUGAAAUGCCCCCGCUCAACGGGGUGAAGUGCCAUUGAUACUGCCUGGCUGGAAUGCGGAUGCCGUGGGAGGAAUGUGUGGUGUAGCGGUGAAAUGCAUAGAUAUCACACAGAACACCGAUUGCGAAGGCAUCUCACGAAUCCGCGAUUGACGCUGAUGCACGAAAGCGUGGGUAUCAAACAGGAUUAGAUACCCGGGUAGUC
rnacentral:rRNA from 1 species